GAUGAACGCUGGCGGCGUGCCUAAUACAUGCAAGUCGAGCGAACGGACGAGAAGCUUGCUUCUCUGAUGUUAGCGGCGGACGGGUGAGUAACACGUGGAUAACCUACCUAUAAGACUGGGAUAACUUCGGGAAACCGGAGCUAAUACCGGAUCAUAUUUUGAACCGCAUGGUUCAAAAGUGAAAGACGGUCUUGCUGUCCCUUAUAGAUGGAUCCGCGCUGCAUUAGCUAGUUGGUAAGGUAACGGCUUACCAAGGCAACGAUGCAUAGCCGACCUGAGAGGAUGAUCGGCCACACUGGAACUGAGACACGGUCCAGACUCCUACGGGAGGCAGCAGUAGGGAAUCUUGCGCAAUGGGCGAAAGCCUGACGGAGCAAUGCCGCGUGAGUGAUGAAGGUCUUCGGAUCGUAAAACUCUGUUAUUAGGGAAGAACAUAUGUGUAAGUAAAUGUGCACAUCUUGACGGUACCUAAUGAGAAAGCCACGGCUAACUACGUG
rnacentral:rRNA from 1 species